GAUGAACGCUAGCUACAGGCUUAACACAUGCAAGUCGAGGGGCAGCAUGAACUUAGCUUGCUAAGUUUGAUGGCGACCGGCGCACGGGUGAGUAACGCGUAUCCAACCUGCCCCAUAGUCAGGGACAGCCCGGCGAAAGUCGGAUUAAUUCACUAUAUGUGGCAUUUCGGCAUCUUUAUGUCACGAAAGAUUCAUCGCUCAUGGAUGGGGAUGCGUCUGAUUAGGCAGUCGGCGGGGUAACGGCCCACCGAGCCAUCGAUCAGUCGGGGUUCUGAGAGUAAGGUCCCCCACACUGGUACUGAGACACGGACCAGACUCC
rnacentral:rRNA from 1 species